UGAGGAAUAUUGGUCAAUGGUCGCAAGACUGAACCAGCCAUGCCGCGUGCAGGAAGACGGUCCUAUGGAUUGUAACUGCUUUUAUACAGGAAGAAAACCCCUCCCACCGUGUGGGGAGCUUGACGUACUGUAGGAAUAAGGAUCGGCUAACUCCCGUGC
rnacentral:rRNA from 1 species